rnacentral:rRNA from 1 species
UACGUAGGUGGCAAGCGUUGUCCGGAAUCACUGGGCGUAAAGGGCGCGUAGGUGGCGCGGGUAGUCGUCGGUGAAAGCUCAGGGCUCAACCCUGAGUCGGCCGGUGAUACUCCCGUGCUCGAGUGUGGUAGAGGCCAAUGGAAUUCCGGGUGUAGCGGUGGAAUGCGUAGAGAUCCGGAAGAACACCGGUGGCGAAGGCGGUUGGCUGGGCCACAACUGACACUGAUGCGCGACAGCGUGGGGAGCAAACAGGG